GAUGCCUGAUCUCAUCAAUCUAGCGGGAGAGACAGGAUAACCUGUCCGAGAGUAUAGCGCCACUAUGACUCCGCCGGAAAAAUUACUUUAAAAAUCGCCAAAAAUUACUUGGAGCAAAGGGCAGUCGGCGGAGCUUCGCCAAAGCUGGCGCAGUCGGUUUUGACCUGUAGCAGAGAACCAAUUCUGGAGAACAGCCUCACUUCUUUGAUUGAAUACUCACAUAAUGCAUUGGAACAUGACAUGAGAUUAAGGUUUAAUAAUGAUAGAAUGAAGACCAUAAUAAAAGAGACCUCUACUUAGCAAUUCUUACCUUUCUUACCUAUUUGAUGAAGAUGUCUUUUGAAAGGUGUACUGCAAGGAACAAAAUGUUUGUAAAUUCUGCUUUUACCAAGGUAAAGAUCAAAUUUUAUAAAUUUACUUGUUUGUUUAUACAAGGAAAAAUAACUUCAUAUAUUGAAUAUAUUCAAAAGUUUAAGCAUUUAAUUGUAUUGCCCUGUUAAGUUGGCAUAGCAAAUAAAUGCUUUUCUUUUCCUCAUUUUAUUCUUUGUGUUUCCUAACCCAUAGCACUGUGCUAGGCACAGAAUGGACUUCAGUUAAGUUUUUGAUGUAGAAAUGUUUUAUUAUUCUACUUAAAAUCUCCUUAAAAAUAAUUAUGCAUAUUACAUCAAUGUUAUAAUGUUUAAACAUAAAUUUUUUUACAUGCAUUCUUUUUUUUUCUGAAAGAAAAUAUUUUUUAUAUUCUUUAGGCGCGAAUGUAUGUUUAAAAAAAACAAAACCUUGGAGUAAA
rnacentral:antisense_RNA from 1 species